GGUGUGUGUGCUGCAGCUGGUGUUGUGAAUCAGGCCGAUGUCACACGUCCGCGAUAACCCGGCUAUUUCACAACACCAGGGUGGCACCACACC
ensembl:miRNA dre-mir-138 microRNA 138-2